rnacentral:rRNA from 1 species
UACGAAGGGUGCAAGCGUUAAUCGGAAUUACUGGGCGUAAAGCGCGCGUAGGCGGCUUUGUAAGUUAGAGGUGAAAGCCCGGAGCUCAACUCCGGAACUGCCUUUAAGACUGCAUCGCUAGAAUUGUGGAGAGGUGAGUGGAGUUCCGAGUGUAGAGGUGAAAUUCGUAGAUAUUCGGAAGAACACCAGUGGCGAAGGCGACUCACUGGACACAUAUUGACGCUGAGGUGCGAAAGCGUGGGGAGCAAACAGG